UACGAAGGGUGCUAGCGUUGUUCGGAAUCAUUGGGCGUAAAGCGUACGUAGGCGGUUUAGUAAGUCGAUUGUGAAAGCCCCGAGCUCAACUCGGGAAUUGCAACCGAUACUGCUUUACUAGAGUUUGGUGGGGGAUGGUGGAAUUCCUAGUGUAGGGGUGAAAUCCGUAGAUAUUAGGAGGAAUAUCGGUGGCGAAAGCGACCAUCUACGCCAAUACUGACGCUAAGGUACGAAAGCGUGGGGAGCAAACAGG
rnacentral:rRNA from 1 species